UGCGUAGGUGGGCUAGUAAGUCCGUGGUGAAAUCCCCGAGCUUAACUUGGGAACUGCCAUUGAUACUAUUAGUCUUGAAUAUCGUGGAGGUAAGCGGAAUAUGUCAUGUAGCGGUGAAAUGCUUAGAUAUGACAUAGAACACCAAUUGCGAAGGCAGCUUGCUACACGGUCAUUGACACUGAGGCACGAAAGCGUGGGGAGCAAACAGGAUUAGAUACCCUGGUAGUCCA
rnacentral:rRNA from 1 species